rnacentral:rRNA from 1 species
CGGACGGGUGAGUAAUGUCUGGGAAACUGCCUGAUGGAGGGGGAUAACUACUGGAAACGGUAGCUAAUACCGCAUAACGUCGCAAGACCAAAGAGGGGGACCUUCGGGCCUCUUGCCAUCGGAUGUGCCCAGAUGGGAUUAGCUAGUAGGUGGGGCAACGGCUCACCUAGGCGACGAUCCCUAGCUGGUCUGAGAGGAUGACCAGCCACACUGGAACUGAGACACGGUCCAG